CAGGAGGGAGGAAGAAGCGAGAAACUGGGAAGAUGAAAUGUGCUUUUGUUAACGGGCAUGAAAAGUUAUCUCCCACAUCUCUGUUUUUUUACUCUGUUUUUCUAAAUCACCCAGCACAAACUGUAGUGAGGUAGUUUUUUUCUUUUUAUCCCCAUGGGGGUUUCAGAAAAUUUUCCCACUGGGCUCUAAAGAUUAAAUGAUUCCAGCUGCGUGAAUAUGACCACUAAGCAAGAGCCAGAGCUGAGACAUUUCUUCCUGGAUAGGAGGUCAGUGCCCAGGUGGGUACUGUCUGAGGAGUCAGAUUUUAUUUUUAAUGCAGUACAUUGAGAAUGUAAGUGUGGAACAGCAGGGUGGAAAAAAACACAAGUAUGAAUGAAUGUGGUAUUAACUUCUACCAAAGCGCUCCACGGAAAACCACCGAGCUUAAAAGCCCUCAACGGUGUUAUGAACUUCAACUCUGCUGAAGGAGAUUCCAGCCCUCUGGGUGGUUGCAGCUAAGUAAGGACUUGAUUGCUAACCCCUUGGGUCACACUGUUUAGAGACAAGUGACACCUGAUAUACCAGUGA
rnacentral:lncRNA from 10 species